CAACUCCCGCAUGUCAUCAGCGUCACCAAGAUUUCCUGCUGACUUGAGAAGCCCCCUUGGUGACUUCAUUAAUCCAUUUGUGCUCAGUGAAGAGACCCACUGUGAAAAGACUGGGAGGAGUUACCUGAAAGAGCACAGCUAUAAACCCU